CCUACGGGAGGCAGCAGUGGGGGAUAUUGCACAAUGGGGGGAACCCUGAUGCAGCGACGCCGCGUGGGUGAAGAAGCGCCUCGGCGCGUAAAGCCCUGUCAGCAGGGAAGAAAAUGACGGUACCUGAAGAAGAAGCCCCGGCUAACUACGUGCCAGACGCCGCGGUAAUACGGAGGAGGCAAGCGUUAUCCGGAUUUACUGGGUGUAAGGGGGGCGGAGACGGGGAUGCAAGCCAGGGGUGAAAGCCCGGGGCCCAACCCCGGGACUGCUCUUGGAACUGCGUGGCUGGAGUGCAGGAGGGGCAGGCGGAAUUCCUGGUGUAGCGGUGAAAUGCGUAGAUAUCAGGAGGAACACCGGUGGCGAAGGCGGCCUGCUGGACUGCAACUGACGUUGAGGCCCGAAAGCGUGGGGAGCAAACAGGAUUAGAUACCCCUGUAGUC
rnacentral:rRNA from 1 species